AUUGAACGCUGGCGGCAGGCCUAACACAUGCAAGUCGAACGAGUGGCGGACGGGUGAGUAAUGUCUGGGAAACCGCCUGAUGGAGGGGGAUAACUACUGGAAACGGUAGCUAAUACCGCAUACCAUCGGAUGUGCCCAGAUGGGAGUAGCUAGUAGGUGGGGUAAAGGCUCACCUAGGCGACGAUCCCUAGCUGGUCUGAGAGGAUGACCAGCCACACUGGAACUGAGACACGGUCCAGACUCCUACGGGAGGCAGGAGUUGGGAAUAUUGCGCAAUGGGCGCAAGCCUGAUGCAGCCAGGCAGCGUGUAUGAAGAAGGCCUUCGGGUUGUAAAGUACUGUCAGCGGGGAGGCGUGACACAAAGAAGAAGCCCCGGCUAACUCCGUGCCAGCAGCCGCGGUAAUUC
rnacentral:rRNA from 1 species